GUGCGCGCUCUCAAAUAAAUAAAAUCUUUUAUAGAGAAGGAAAGCGCCAGCCUGCUUCCCGGUGCGCCUGCACCGUCUGCCCCUGCCAUCUUGGCCUCGCGGCUUCGCUGCUCCCUCUGGUCUGCCGGGCGGCCGGGGGUCGCCAUGCCUUCCCUUCAGCGAGGGGUUCGCAGGGGCUCCCCUGUGCUUGUGUGUGUCCUCAGCGGCUCGUUCUCCGUCUGAGCUGCCCUCGUUUGUUGGUGUAAAACCGUUCCGAACUUCAUCUUCUUGAGGGUCCACGGCGACUGCCCGCCUGGCGGCUGACUCCAGCGGCGUGCCUCUCCUCCGGGGGCGGCGGGCUCGCGAGGUGCCGCCAUCCCCUUGCCCGCCUGCUUCUCGCCUUGGGUUGGGUCCGCUCUGUGCUCGCUGGAUGCCGGGGAUGGGAGCUCCCCUCGCCGAGUCCCGGGCUUGGCCUCAUGGACUCGCAACACUUGGUCCUGGCGGCGCCCAUCCCCGUGGCGGGUGGUGGUCUCCUGGGGGGGGGCCUUGCUCGCCGGCCGCGGCUGCCAUCCUCCGCACGCGCGUUGCUUCCAGCGCUGCUCUUUUCCCAGCGCGGGGCCCUCUCUCAGCGUCACUGUGGCUCUGGGUCAUCGGACUCCUUGUUCGGAGCACGCCCUGGCUGCUGUCAGCCCCCGCCGUGUGCCCGUCGCGUGACCGUGGCGUGUGCGCGUGGAGGCCCCCAGAUUUGGUUCGGUCAGGCCAGCCGUAUCGCGGUCUGCGCGCCGCUCCGCCCCACCGGCCUCCUACAACAGCCUGAAGGUCAGCUCUGGUUGUCCGUCGGUUGUCUCUCUGUCAGCGCUCGGUUUCUGUGUCCGGGGAGCCUGUUGCCAGGGCCGCCGGUCGCCGACUGUGCCCCGUUGCUGGCGCCCCUGCCCCCAGAGCCCAGGAAGCGUGGUGUCCGGCGAGAGCCUCAUCGGGACACUCAUCGUGCCGGCUUCCCGCCACUCUGCUUGUGGCCUGUGCCUUCCUCACCCCCCCAGCCGCUCCCGUUCCGUCUAUGGAUGCCCGGCAGCGCCUGUGUCCUUCCCAGGGCUGCUGGCCGGGAGCACUGUCCACUCUAGGGGCUCUCCCCAGGGGACACUGCGGCUCUGCACACACCCCGUGUCUUCUCCAUGCUGCCCACUGGCUGUCACGUUGUGGGCGAGGAUGCCCACCAGAUGCCGCUCUGGUUUUCCAUGUCGUGAGCCGGACUUCUACAGGGAGAGCCGUGCCUUCCUCCUGGUACCCGCUCACUCAGUUCUGUGCUCGUUCUGUCUUUGUGGACGUGGAUAUGUGUCGUGUCCCGCACGCGUACUCUGUUGAGGCUCACAGCACCCCGGAUUUGGCCACCCCACAUCCCCUGUUCCGCGACCCCGUCCCACGUCCCUGUCCCGCUCGGAGCCUUUCUCUGCUUCCUGUCCCUACGAGACACUCUGAGUGUGUCUCGUACUUUCCCCGCUCCGGCUCUGGAAUCCACCACGUCUCCCAGGAGCUGGUCCCAUUUGUCGGUGUGGGACGCGGACACCGAGCUCCAGUCGCUGGGCGUCCCCUCGCCACCAGGGUGUCCGAGCGUGGAGCCCUUCCCAGUGGACGAGCUGCCCCACCCCGCUUUAGUCCUGUGUCUGCGUCCACCUGCCCAAAGCACAGGGUGACCCAGUACCCCCAGGUCAGCACCCCAGAAUCUGUCCCCCACCACACUGAUGCCCCUUUGUCCUCGGAGGAGAACCCGGCACACCCCUUCCAUGCCACGCCUGCUUCAUGGCACAACCCCAGGACCCGCGGCUCUGCUCAGGAGCGAGACAGGAUGCGCAGAGGUGCGGCCCCUCCGGAGGCCCGGCUCCUUGAGUGGUGCCUUGCCUUUGUGUGCGGCUCUCUUGGCCUGCACCCCCUUUCCCAAAACAGGUGUUCCCGUGCCAUCCGGGGUUCUUGUCCGUGUUCUGUCUUCUUUAAAGCUUUUCAACUUGGGUAGAACGCGCACAACACUAGGGUCAACACCUCCACCGUCUCUGCACGCACAGCUCUGCGGUGGGAAGCACUCACACCCUCACCCUCCGGCUCCAGAGCUUUCCAUCCCCCCACAUGGAGACUCCGUCUCCACAAAGCAUGGACCCCCCAGCCCUGCCCCAGCCCUGGCUCCCACCCCCUCCUCUCUGUCUGUACGGACGGAACUCCUCUGGGGCCCUCCUGGGAGUGGGGUCCUGCGGGACAGAUCCUUCCGGGUCUGGCCGCUCUCACAGCCCCGUGUCCUCGGCGUCCUUCCGCGUCAUGGCAGGAGUCAGGGUCCCUCCCUUCCUGAGGCUGGACCGUGUUCCCGCAUGGGAACGGACCAUGCCAUGUGUGUCCUUCACACACUGAGGACACUGGGGCGCUUCCCUUUCUGGCCGCUGUGACCCACGCUCUGUGAACACAGGUGUGCAGCGUGUGUGGACACUUGUGCAGCAGGCGUGAAACUGCUGGGUCCCGUGGUAGCUUGUGUCCAGCCUGCAGAGGGCCAACCGGACCGUCUCCACAGUGACCGUGUGACCCGUAUUCCCACCGGCUGUGUGGGCGCACAUCCCCGUGUCGGUGUCACAUCUCACCAUGGUCUGCGUGGCUCACCCCAGCUGUCUGUGUGGGCCGAGGUGGUGUCCCCCUGGGGGGCAGAUUGGCGCUUGGAGAAGGGAGGCCGGCACAGUGACGAGGGGCUGGAGGCGCGAAGGCGUCUGAGCCCAGGGAUGGGAGAUGGGCCGACCCUCCUCAAACCCGGUGGCCUCUCUAGGGCGCAGGCUUGGUGGCCGUGUGUGCUGGUGAGGACGCGUGAGGUCCGGGGCCGCAGGUGUUGGGCACGCAGCGUGAACACACGAGGCGCUGUCUGUGGCCUCUCUCUGCGGCGUCCAACCGUCUCCCGGCCAGGAUUGAGGUCCUUGUGCACAGCUGGGACAUGGGAGCAGGAAGGUGCUGGUUACAAGGUGCGGGAGCACAGUGAGGGCCCGGGGCUGCCGCCGUCGUCAGGGACGUGUCCGAGGCCGGCCGCUGCGGAAGCCAAGCCUGCAGGCAGCGGGACCACAGACAUGUUUCCUGUCCCCAUGCUGGGGGCCAGACAUCCGAGGUCAGGGUGUGACAGGGAGGUCCCUCCCGCCUCUCCUAGCUCCUGGGUGCUCCAGGUGUCCCCAGCGUCGUGGCCAUGCCCCUCCCAUGUCUGCCUCUCACCACCUGGCUUCUCCCAGUGUCUGUGUCCCAAAGUCCCCUCUUACAAGGACACGGGUGUGGGGCUAGGGCCACCCUGCCCCCCUGUGACCUCACGUGAACCAGUCACAUCCACGAAGAUGAUUUCCAAGUGAGGUCCCAUUCCGGCUUUCCGGGGGGACCUGACUUUUGAGGGACGCUGUUCUCCCCAUUAGACUUGGUUUCGCAUUUGGUCCUCUGUCUCGGGUCCAUUCUCCGGAUGGGCUCAAGCCCUGUGCUGCAUGGUGGCCCCUACGAGGGCCUGGGAGGUGUGGCCCAGGGUGGAGAGGAAGGUAGGAGCUGGGGAAGGAGUUCCUUCUCCCCGUAAAGAGUCGGGGGCUGCCCAGCCUGGGAUUCGUGAGGGGGCCAUGGGCAGGCAGAGGCUGGAAGGAGGAUGUGGGGCCACUCUGAGCCCCACAUGCAUCGCGAUGGGGACCCCAGGACUGGGUGUGAUGUGGGGUCCUUGCGGACCUGGUGGGCCCGGGGCCG